CAGUGACCUCGGGAAAAUAUGUCCAUGUAUGAUGAGAUCCGUAAUGACGAACAUGCUGACGAACAGAUACAGUGUUGUAGGACAUAAGGGGAAAUUGGCCUUUAAAAACAGCACAGUUUGCAAAGUAGUUCUGGCUCAGUCGAAGGAUCGAAUUCGCUCGGUGGACCCAAUUCUCUGAUUGGGCUUUUUCCCGUUCCAACCAGUGCCCCACGACUGGUAUACCAAAGGCUGUGAAGCAGUAAAGAAAUCCUCAGAGUCAGCAUUCAUGGACAGUGAUAUACUGACUGAAAUAGGUGACCUCUUAAGGAACGCUCCAAACCAGCCUGGUAGUUCCAACUACAAGAAGGUCAGUUUUGCCAGGGAAUUGAUCUGCAAGGGAUGUUCAAUGGGCUAAUUUUAGAAAUGGGUUUUGGGCAAAUAUUGUUCCAAAUAAACAUGUAUAUUAUUGUAAGUCACAUGCUAUUUUUACUUUUGGUUCACAUGAAAGAUUUGAACUUUGUCAAAAUCCAUUGGUGUUCAGCACAAUCUUAAGUAAAACUAUUUUUAAAGGCUGUAAGUGGUAUCAAUUUGAAUUUUAUUUUAAAGGCCAGGACCUUUAUUAUUUAAAAAAAACGGUGUUUUUUUUUAGUGUUUUGCCGAGUUUGAAUUUUAUCAAAAUCCUAAUGGGGAUUUCUGCCUUUGUUAUUGUUGAGGUCUGCAGCAUUAAUUGAAGAUUUAUUAUUGUUUUUUAAAAAUUAAAUUUAAAAAAAAUGUAUAUAAAGCCUUUCAGCUAAUGGAAGUGCUGCCCAAAUUUCCAAUCUACGGGUAUUAGUGAUAUUGAGAUGAAAGGAAUGUUCGCUAUAGGUGAAAUGUUGAAUAAAUUUC